AAAGACUAAUGUGGUUUUAUCCAAUAGCAAUUUAAUAAGUCGCAAUCAUUUCGGUGGCAUUCAAAAGCAAGCAAAGCACGACAUACUCUCUGCUCUACAUCCAAUAUUACGCAUUAAACGCUCUUUCGCAAAAAAUCAUGUCACUAUAUAAUCGACAGACUUCGAAAAGGUGUUUGAUCGUGUACGUGUACAUACGAUAUUGUCACAGCUUGAAAAGUGGAGCCUUGGUCAGAAAACCUUUCACAUCAUAAAGGCCUUCAUGACAAACCGCUCUUUUCGGAGUAAUAAUACUAUCAACAAUCGAUUAUGGACUCCCAAUUUACGGAUGGUGCGAAAACACCAACCUAAACCAAAUAAAUGCCCCAUACCACCAAGAAGUACGCCUUGUAUCAACGAUUCAACAUCUCCUGUCAAAUGCGUCCUAGUGGAGGCCGGAAUACCAUCCAUAAGAGACAGACUACGUAAUGCCACUUAAAAACUCAUUCCACAGCUGGUUAACUCACAAAAUAAAAUCUUAAACACGGUGUGUCAGUUAUUGCAAAACGCUACAAAUCAGUAAGCACGCCACAAAGGCAAAAACAGUCCAAAAAUCCCCGUGAAUGCGACACCAUACUCCACAAAUAUAAUAAAACGAUGUCAACCCUGUCAUUAAUCGAAAAUUAUUAGAGGAUAUUCAGGAUAUUUUCAAUGACAACCCGUUAUUAAACAACAUCAGAAAUUUUCUUAUCAGAUGCUGCAAAAAAAAACGAAGUCAAAAAAGCGAAAUGAUUUCGCCGACUCCGUCGAACGUUCCGCAGGCAAAGCAGCAUACCUAAAUUUCCACACAACCGAACCAAAAAAAUUUGUCAAAUUCCAUUGCUCGCAGUUUAGCUGAAAAAGAGGUAAUAGAGUGGCAGCAGAACCCCCAUCGAUACGUCAAAUUGAAUCUAAAGGGCACAAGGCUACAUACCCAAAAACAACCCCAGUAAUGGCUUGUCAACGAACAGGCCACAGUAAACUGACACAGGACUACCUCUUGAUAGGAACUUCCAAAAAACCAUGUCCCUUCUGCAAAGGAUUAUUAUCCAUAGUACACCUAAUCCACGACUGCAAAAAACUAAAAUCCACGCGAAAAAGAAUCUUCCGGCAAGUUGCUCCAAGAGUUUACUUACAAUCAUCACAAAAACAAAUAUCGAAGUAAUAAACCAAUUUUUCAAGUAACUAGACUUAAGCAAGAAAAGCUAAUUAAAAACAAGAAAAAACGUUAA